CACGUAGGGGGCGAGCGUUGUCCGGAUUUAUUGGGCGUAAAGAGCUCGUAGGCGGUUUCGUUAGUCGGGUGUGAAAACCCCAGGCUCAACCUGGGGACCGGCCACCCCGCAUACUGCGAUGACUAGAGUCCGGUAGGGGGAGUGUGGAAAUUCCCUGGUGUAGCGGUGAAAUGCGCAGAUAUCAGGAGGAACACCAACGGCGAAGGCAGCACUCUGGGCCGGAACUGACGCUGAGGGAGCGAAAGCGUGGGUAGCGAACAGG
rnacentral:rRNA from 1 species